rnacentral:rRNA from 1 species
UACGGAGGGGGCUAGCGUUGUUCGGAAUUACUGGGCGUAAAGCGCACGUAGGCGGCUUUGUAAGUUAGAGGUGAAAGCCCAAGGCUCAACCUUGGAAUUGCCUUUGAUACUGAGGGCCUUGAGACCGGAAGAGGUCGGCGGAACUGCGAGUGUAGAGGUGAAAUUCGUAGAUAUUCGCAAGAACACCAGUGGCGAAGGCGGCCGACUGGUCCGGUUCUGACGCUGAGGCGCGAAAGCGUGGGGAGCAAACAGG